GCCUGGGUGGCUCAGUCAGUUAAGCAUCUGACUUCAGCUCAGGUCAUGAUCUCGCAGUUCAUGGGUUCGAGCCCUGUGUCGGGCU
rnacentral:tRNA from 1 species